GCUCCAUCUGGUAUCCAGUGAGCUGUGUGGUUUGUGCUGCACGACAGAAGCUCAAGUCCAGUUCACUGAGCGAACGGAGCUCAUAUCUGGGACCACGAAGACUUCCUAUCAGGCAUUUUCUUCUGACUGGGUGUUUGAAGACGCUUAUACAUUACUAGAAGGAGACCAGGCGACAGCCGUGAAAACGGAAAUGUUCUCUUCCGAGCACUUCCCUUACCAAUGGAUGCUGUGUCGUAAGCAUGAGCUCAGGGGCUCAGAUGUUUAGAAAAACCAAUGUCUUCCAUCCAAGCUGGAGAGGACUGACCACACCCUGGAAAAGCUUCAAGCACAGUACUAUCCAAGAUUUUGAAACAAAACACUCUGGGCCAUUUACUGAGAUGAUUUUAAUUUGGAACUCACAACCACCGUGUAUGGUGUUGCAAACACCCUUCCGUGGUAAUCAACCCCUCUCAUCUUUUUACAAUGGCUUUGUGACUGGUUCGAAUAAAGAUAAUAAAAAUUAAAUGA